rnacentral:rRNA from 1 species
GAUGAUUACUCCCUCGUUCAGUGCGGCAUGCUUUACAGCUUAGAACCGGGGCUCCAAAAGCGUUUUGAGCACUACGGAGCAUAUGAGAUGUUCGAAGAGCUAAAACUAGUUUUUCAAGCUCAUGCCCGGGUCGAGAGAUAUGAUGUCUCCGACAAGUUCUACAGUUGUAAAAUGGAGGAAAACAGUUCUGUCAGUGAGCACAUCCUGAAGAUGUCUGGGUUGCACAACCGUAUGACCCAGCUGAACAUAAACCUCCCAGAUGAGGCGGUCAUUGACAGAAUCAUUCAGUCGCUCCCACCAAGCUACAAGAGCUUUGUGAUGAACUACAACAUGCAGGGGAUGGAAAAGACCAUUCCUGAAGUGUUCUCGAUGCUGAAGUCAGCAGAGGCUGAAAUCAAGAAAGAACAUCAAGUGUUGAUGGUCAAUAAGACCACUAAGUUCAAGAAGGGCAAGGGUAAGAAGAACUUCAAG